CACUGACAUUACGAUACCCUGUAGUCCCAGCCGUAAACUAUGCGGCGUUAGGUGUACUGGUGACCACGAGUCACCGGGGUGCCGAAGGGAAACCGUGAAACGUGCCGCCUGGGAAGUACGGUCGCAAGGCUGAAACUUAAAGGAAUUGGCGGGGAGCACCACAACGGGUGGAGCCUGCGGUUUAAUUGGACUCAACGCCGGAAAUCUCACCGGAUAGGACAGACAUAUGAUAGUCGGGCUGAAGACUCUACUUGAUGAUCUG
rnacentral:rRNA from 1 species